ACGGCAGCGAGGAGAAGCUUGCUUCUCUGUCGGCGAGUGGCGAACGGGUGAGUAUAGCAUCGGAACGUGCCAAGUAGUGGGGGAUAACCAAACGAAAGUUUGGCUAAUACCGCGUAAGCUCCAAGGAGGAAAGUAGGGGACCUAAAUAAGGCCUUACGCUAUUUGAUCGGCCGAUGUCGGAUUAGCUAGUUGGUGGGGUAAUGGCUCACCAAGGCAAUGAUCCGUAGCGGGUCUGAGAGGACGAUCCGCCACACUGGGACUGAGACACGGCCCAGACUCCUACGGGAGGCAGCGGUGGGGAAUUUUGGACAAUGGGGGAAACCCUGAUCCAGCCAUGCCGCGUGUAUGAAGAAGGCCUUAGGGUUGUAAAGUACUUUUGUUAGGGAAGAAAAGCUAGUUUUUAAUAAAAAUUAGUGAUGACGGUACCUAAAGAAUAAGCACCGGCUAACUACGUGCCAGCAGCCGCGGUAAUACGUAGGGUGCAAGCGUUAAUCGGAAUUAUUGGGCGUAAAGCGAGUGCAGACGGUUACUUAAGCCAGAUGUGAAAUCCCCAAGCUUAACUUGGGACGUGCAUUUGGAACUGGGUGACUAGAGUGUGUCAGAGGGAGGUAGAAUUCCACAUGUAGCGGUGGAAUGCGUAGAGAUGUGGAGGAAUACCGAUGGCGAAGGCAGCCUCCUGGGAUAAC
rnacentral:rRNA from 1 species